UGUUAAGUCAGAUGUGAAAGCCCGGGGCUUAACCUCGGAAUUGCAUUUUGAAACUGGCAGGCUAGAGUCUUGUAGAGGGGGUAGAAUUUCAGGUGUAGCGGUGAAAAUGCGUAGAGAUCUGAAGGAAUACCAGUGGCGAAGGCGGCCCCCUGGACAAAGACUGACGCUCAGAUGCGAAAGCGUGGGGAGCAAACAGGAUUAGAUACCCUGGUAG
rnacentral:rRNA from 1 species